AACAGGAUUAGAUACCCUGGUAGUCCACGCCGUAAACGAUGGGUACUAGGUUUGGUGAGUCUUGACCCCCGCCGAACCGGAGCUAACGCAAUAAGUACCCCGCCUGGGAAGUACGGUCGCAAGACUAAAACUCAAAGGAAUUGACGGGGGCCCGCACAAGCGGUGGAUCAUGUGGUUUAAUUCGAAGCAACGCGAAGAACCUUACCUGGGUUUGACAUCCUUUGACAAACGUAGAGAUACGUCUUUUGUAGCAAUACAACAAAGUGACAGGUGCUGCAUGGCUGUCGUCAGCUCGUGGGGUGACAUGUUGGGUUAAGUCCCGCAACGAGCGCAACCCUUGUCUUUAGUUGCCAGCAUUAAGUUGGGCUCUCUAAAGAGACUGCCGUGGUGAACACGGAGGAAGGUGGGGAUGACGUCAAGUCCUCAUGGCCUUUAUAUCCAGGGCGACACACGUGAUACAAUGGACGGUACAGAGGGAAGCGAAACCGCGAGGUGGAGCCAAUCUCAAAAAGCCGUUCUCAGUUCGGAUUGGAGUCUGCAAUUCGACUCCAUGAAGUUGGAAUCGCUAGUAAUCGCGGAUCGGCACGCCGCGGUGAAUACGUUCCCGGGCCUUGUACACACCGCCCGUCACACCAUGGGAGCUGACUCAACCAGAAGACGGUCAGGAUAACCGCAAGGAGUCCUCCGGCGAAGGUGGGGUUGGUGACUGGGGUGAAGUCGUAACAAGGUAACC
rnacentral:rRNA from 1 species